AGGUCACUUCAAAGAGGGUUUGCAUGGCUUGAAAACCAGCAGCUCUUAACGCAGUGACCGUACAUCAAACUCCUUUUAGCAGGAUGCUGUAGCCACUGUGUGUGUGUGCUGUGGUCUAUUUCAGAGGAGACAGC
rnacentral:snoRNA from 1 species